GCAGAGGGUCUGUCGCACGGGACCCACAGGCGGUGGGCGACCGCACGGCCAGUCCCGGAUCGGACGGCCGAAGCCUGACGGGGCCCGCCGCCCAUGCCUCAGGCCUAGAUUUCGGCGGAGAAUGGCGGAUCGACCGGGGCGCGUGCAGCGAUCGGACGGUCGAGACGAGAGCGACACCAGCUGCAUUCCUUCCUCCAUCCUCUGUCUUCUUGGAGCCGCAGUCACUCUGGUCUUCCCCAUCGCUUCUUCUGUGAAAGGAAUCUCCCCCGCUCCAUACUCCAUAGCCCCCUCGCCGUUUUCCUCUUCCAGUCUCGUUUCGGCGCCUACACCUUCCAGAAGGGAAGGCUACGCUGCUGCAUUCGCAAAUAAAAACUCUGAAAGCUAGCCGAGCUCUACUCCUCUGUCCCGUACCACCUUUCAUCUCCCUUCCUCCCCCUUAAUUUGACUCUUCACUCCACCCUGAGCACCUUCCAGCACGGCCACCUCACUCCAGCCCGAUCUUCCAGCGCGGCUCCACGGCAAGGGCUCUGCCGCCGCUCCUUGCCCUACAGUUACCGACGACGGGCGGUGCACCGUUUACACGGCGGGUAAACUCGCCACGGGGGCGGCCGGGAACGGCGGCGGUAUCAGCCGGGCGGGCAAGCCGUCAGUUGCCUGUAAGUACCCCAUCCCACCGGUCAGUGUGGUUGGCCACCGCCCUUCUGUACUUCCUCGUCCUCUAACCACUCUAGGAUAGUACCAGCAUCACCAUUAAUUAGUAGUAGCACCCUCCUCGUCACGCCGGCCGGCAAGAGGCGGAGAAGGUGCGCACUCAAUCGAAACGGCCGGCACUGACGCACCGCGUUCGUGUCGCUUGCCAUUCCCCGUCCAUUUAUUCCUUCCCAGCUUCCUCCCUCUCUGCUUUCGUGUCGUGUCGAUCGUUAAGCUUUGUCUAACCGUGCCCAGCUUGCAUCGCGUGUUUUGCUCCCCGUUCCGUUCUUCACAAGUCAAACCCCCAACAGCUGUUUUCAGUUUUGAUUAACACCAAAACCGAACGUAUACGCUCUUGAUUACGCAGUCCUCCCUUGUCAGCUCAUGUCACGUCAUCCGCCUGUAUAUUUUCCCCUAGAGAAAAACUAGAUUCUUUCCCAGAUUUUCCAGAUCGUUUUCUUUACAUCACAUUGAUUUUCAGAUCAUUUUUCGACGCCAAGAUACACCGCACACUGUUUACCCGACGGGUAGACUAGCCAAGGGGCCGGCCAGGAGCAGCGGCGAUAUCUACCGGGCAGGAAGCCG
rnacentral:lncRNA from 1 species